AUCUUGUUUGACCUCUCUUUUCUUCAGAAUGCAUUUUGGAAAAUGAAUUUUAAAAGCAACUUACUGUUCUGCAGCCCUCAUCAAAUACCCUUGUAUCUCCUCUGCUGAAUUUGGGGAAGGAAGAAGACACUCACCACACUAAAAAAAGCCAGACCAUUGGGAAGUAUGUCAAUAUCUUCAGAGCCAGCUUCUGUAAGUUUAAGGAACAGAUAAAUGUCAUGUUCAAGUUCUGUUAUUUGUUACACAGAGCAUAACUGGGACUCUGUUUACUUUAUCAGAGUGACUGUAUCUUUAGGGAUGGUUCUGAUGUUUUUUCCAAGGAACCAUUCUUUUUAAUAAAUGUCAGUUUAAACCC
ensembl:lncRNA novel transcript, antisense to PON2